UACGUAGGCAGCAAGCGUUGUUCGGAGUUACUGGGCGUAAAGGGUGUGUAGGCGGUUGGAUAAGUGUGGUGUGAAAUCUCCCGGCUUAACUGGGAGGGUGCGCUACAAACUGUCUGACUAGAGUGUGGGAUGGGUAAGUGGAAUUCCUGGUGUAGCGGUGAAAUGCGUAGAUAUCAGGAGGAACACCGGUGGCGAAGGCGGGUCUCUGGGCCGGAUACUGACGUGGAGGAGCGAAAGCGUGGGGGAGCGAACAGG
rnacentral:rRNA from 1 species